rnacentral:tRNA from 1 species
GGGGAUGUAGCUCAGUGGUAGAGCGCUCGCUUUGCAUGCGGGAGGCCCCGGGUUCGAUCCCCGGCAUCUCCA